rnacentral:hammerhead_ribozyme from 1 species
ACCCAGCCGACGAGUCCCAAAUAAGACGAAACUCGCUUCGGCCUGGAU